rnacentral:rRNA from 1 species
GGAGGAAAAGAAACUAACAAGGAUUCCCCUAGUAACUGCGAGUGAAGAGGGAAAAGCUCAAAUUUAAAAUCUGGCAGCGUUUGCUGUCCGAGUUGUAAUUUAGAGAAGUGUUACCCGCGUUGGACCGUGUACAAGUCUCCUGGAAUGGAGCGUCAUAGAGGGUGAGAAUCCCGUCUUUGACACGGACUACCAAGGCAUUGUGGUACGCUCUCAAAGAGUCGAGUUGUUUGGGAAUGCAGCUCUAAAUGGGUGGUAAAUUCCAUCUAAAGCUAAAUAUUGGCGAGAGACCGAUAGCAAACAAGUACCGUGAGGGAAAGAUGAAAAGAACUUUGGAAAGAGAGUUAAACAGUACGUGAAAUUGUUGAAAGGGAAACGCUUAAAGUCCAGUCGCGUUGGUUAGGAAUCAGCCUUGGUUUUUCCUUGGCGCAUUUCCUAGUCGACGGGUCAACAUGAGUUUUGACUGUUGGAUAAAGAUCAAGGGAAUGUGACACCUUCGGGUGUGUUAUAGCUUUUGGUUGUAUACAACGGUUGGGACUGAGGAACUCAGCACGCCGAAAGGCCAGGUCUUGUACCAUGUACGUGCUUAGGAUGUUGGCAUAAUGGCUUUAAUCGACCCGU